rnacentral:rRNA from 1 species
CCAGACUCCUACGGGAGGCAGCAGUGGGGGAUAUUGCACAAUGGGGGAAACCCUGAUGCAGCGACGCCGCGUGGGCGAAGAAGUAUUUCGGUAUGUAAAGCCCUAUCAGCAGGGAAGAAGAAAUGACGGUACCUGAGUAAGAAGCAUCGGCUAACUCCGUGCCAGCAGCCGCGGUAAUACGGAGGAUGCGAGCGUUAUCCGGAUUUAUUGGGUUUAAAGGGUGCGCAGGCGGCACGGCAAGCCGGCGGUCAAAUCGCGGGGCUCAACCCCGCCCAGCCGUCGGAACUGCCGGGCUAGAGUGGGCGAGAAGUGCGCGGAAUGCGUGGUGUAGCGGUGAAAUGCAUAGAUAUCACGCAGAACCCCGAUUGCGAAGGCAGCAUACCGGUGCACAACUGACGCUCAGGCACGAAAGCGUGGGUAUCGAACAGGAUUAGAUACCCCAGUA